rnacentral:rRNA from 1 species
CAACUCCUACGGGACGCAGCAGUAGGGAAUUUUCGUCAAUGGGCGCAAGCCUGAACGAGCGAUGCCGCGUGAGUGAAGAAGGCCUUCGGGUCGUAAAGCUCUGUUGCGGGGGAAAAAAGGCAGCAUCAGGAAAUGGGUGCUGACUGAUGGUGCCCCGCCAGAAAGUCACGGCUAACUACGUGCCAGCAGCCGCGGGAAUACGUAGGUGGCGAGCGUUAUCCGGAAUGAUUGGGCGUAAAGCGUGC